rnacentral:rRNA from 1 species
GUGGGGAAUCUUGCGCAAUGGGCGAAAGCCUGACGCAGCCAUGCCGCGUGAAUGAUGAAGGUCUUAGGAUUGUAAAAUUCUUUCACCGGGGACGAUAAUGACGGUACCCGGAGAAGAAGCCCCGGCUAACUUCGUGCCAGCAGCCGCGGUAAUACGAAGGGGGCUAGCGUUGCUCGGAAUUACUGGGCGUAAAGGGCGCGUAGGCGGACAGUUUAGUCAGAGGUGAAAGCCCAGGGCUCAACCUUGGAAUUGCCUUUGAUACUGGCGAUCUUGAGUGUGAGAGAGGUAUGUGGAACUCCGAGUGUAGAGGUGAAAUUCGUAGAUAUUCGGAAGAACACCAGUGGCGAAGGCGACAUACUGGCUCAUUACUGACGCUGAGGCGCGAAAGCGUGGGGAGCAAACAGGAUUAGAAACCCGUGUAGUCC